rnacentral:lncRNA from 1 species
GCGUAAGUACCAGCAGCUAAAACAAUAGUGGCGUUGAUGCUCCGAUCAAUCAUCUUCUCCAUCUCUUCGCUCUCACUCCUCCUCUCGUCUCCCAAAUCAGCUGCCGAAGAAGAAGAAGAAAACCCUUCCAACGAAAGCCGACCUUCGCUCGUCGCACCGCCGAAUCCAACAACCACAGAUUCGUUCACAUCUUUCUCCGUCUCAGUGCUCAUCACCACCACCGAACCUUCCUCGUGGUCCGUACGAUCUCGGCUCUGAACAGGAAUCACAUCUAUUUCAUCAUGGAUCAACGCGCGCGAAACAAAGUCUCUCUGUUUGUUUCUCAGGAAAAUUUGGGAGCGGUGAGGUUUCAGGGACGGUUUCGAGAGAGAGAGGAAGCUACGUGGAGAGAUUGAAGUGUGGAGUGAAGAAGCAGCCAUGGCGGAGAGAAGA